rfam:Gossypium hirsutum cultivar TM-1 chromosome 1, whole genome shotgun sequence
AACCCAUGGUGAAGGCACCUUCUCAAUAGAUCCUUAUACCUCUCCCAUGCAUCAUAUAAAGUCUCUAAGUCAAUUUGCUCGAAGGAAGAGAUAUCAUUCUCAGCUU